rnacentral:rRNA from 1 species
UUUCUUUGUUCAAGAAAAAAGAGAUAAGCACGAUAUAUUUUAUACUGUUGGUGGUGUAAUACAGAAUAAUAAAACAUCUGGAGUUGUCAGUGCACCAAUAUUAAAUAUUUCAAAAGAAAAGGGUGAAGAUGCUUUUGUGAAAGGUUACCCUUAUUACAUUAAAAAAGAAAAAAUAACACUAAAAGAACUGGAUUAUAAGUUGAGAAAGCAUCUAAUUGAAAAAUACGGACUUUAUAAAACAAUCUCAAAAGAUGGUAGGGUCAAAAUUAGCUUGAAAGAUGGCAGUUUUUAUAACCUUGAUUUAAGAUCUAAAUUAAAAUUUAAAUAUAUGGGGGAAGUCAUAGAAAGCAAACAAAUUAAAGAUAUUGAAGUUAACUUAAAGUAAAUCAUUACGAAUAAUUAAAAGUAAUUGAAGCGGCUUAACGGUGAAAUGUAAAUUGGUGCGCAUAGCUUAUACAAAAAGGAUGCAUCAAUCGAUAUCGUCGUUAAGCCGUUUUGGUUUGUGUGUCAUGAAUCCUAUCCCAAUCUCCAUAAAGGUAAAAUUUCCACCACCAACAUCAAAAUUCUCCACAUCGCAACAUAACCAAAUGUUAUAAUAAAUCUAUUACACAAAGAGAUAAAUUACUUAUUCAAAGGCGGAGGAAUCACAUGUCUAUUACUGAAAAACAACGUCAGCAACAAGCUGAAUUACAUAAAAAAUUAUGGUCGAUUGCGAAUGAUUUAAGAGGGAAUAUGGAUGCGAGUGAAUUCCGUAAUUACAUUUUAGGCUUGAUUUUCUAUCGCUUCUUAUCUGAAAAAGCGGAACAAGAAUAUGCAGAUGCCUUGUCAGGUGAAGACAUCACGUAUCAAGAAGCAUGGGCAGACGAAGAAUACCGUGAAGACUUAAAAGCAGAAUUAAUUGACCAAGUCGGUUACUUCAUUGAGCCAGAAGAUUUAUUCAGUGCGAUGAUUCGUGAAAUUGAAACGCAAGAUUUCGAUAUCGAACACCUGGCGACGGCAAUUCGUAAAGUUGAAACAUCAACAUUAGGUGAAGAAAGUGAAAAUGACUUUAUCGGUCUGUUCAGCGAUAUGGAUUUGAGUUCAACGCGACUAGGUAACAAUGUCAAAGAACGUACUGCUUUAAUCUCUAAAGUCAUGGUUAAUCUUGACGACUUACCAUUCGUUCACAGUGACAUGGAAAUUGAUAUGUUAGGUGAUGCAUAUGAAUUCCUAAUCGGGCGCUUUGCGGCGACAGCGGGUAAAAAAGCAGGCGAGUUCUAUACACCACAACAAGUAUCUAAGAUACUGGCGAAGAUUGUCACAGACGGUAAAGAUAAAUUACGUCACGUGUAUGACCCAACAUGUGGUUCAGGUUCACUGUUGUUACGUGUUGGUAAAGAAACACAAGUGUAUCGUUAUUUCGGUCAAGAACGUAACAAUACUACAUACAACUUAGCACGCAUGAAUAUGUUAUUACAUGAUGUGCGUUAUGAGAACUUCGAUAUCCGUAAUGAUGACACAUUGGAAAACCCAGCCUUUUUAGGCAAUACAUUUGAUGCGGUUAUUGCGAACCCACCGUAUAGUGCGAAAUGGACUGCAGAUUCAAAGUUUGAAAAUGACGAACGAUUCAGUGGUUACGGCAAACUUGCGCCUAAGUCUAAAGCAGACUUUGCCUUUAUUCAACACAUGGUACAUUACCUAGACGAUGAAGGUACCAUGGCCGUUGUACUCCCACAUGGUGUAUUAUUCCGAGGUGCUGCAGAAGGUGUCAUUCGUCGUUAUUUAAUUGAAGAAAAGAACUACUUAGAAGCUGUGAUUGGUUUGCCAGCGAAUAUUUUCUAUGGGACAAGUAUUCCAACAUGUAUUUUAGUAUUUAAAAAAUGUCGCCAACAAGACGACAACGUACUAUUUAUCGAUGCAUCCAAUGAUUUUGAAAAAGGAAAAAAUCAAAAUCAUUUAAGCGAUGCCCAAGUCGAACGUAUUAUAGACACAUAUAAGCGUAAGGAAACAAUUGAUAAAUAUAGCUACAGCGCGACACUACAAGAGAUUGCCGAUAACGAUUACAACCUAAAUAUACCGAGAUAUGUCGAUACAUUCGAAGAAGAAGCACCGAUUGAUUUAGAUCAAGUCCAACAAGAUUUGAAAAAUAUCGAUAAAGAAAUCGCAGAAAUUGAGCAAGAAAUCAAUGCAUACCUGAAAGAACUUGGGGUGUUGAAAGAUGAGUAAUACACAAAAGAAAAAUGUGCCAGAAUUGAG